UAGUAUUAAAUUAAAAAAAAACUAAUUAAUAAUGGCGGCUUUUCUUUUUAAUUAGAGGAACUUGUUUAAUAAUCGAUAAUCCGCGUUAAAUUUCACUAAUAACUUAAAGCCUGUAUACCGUUGUCAUAGGCUUAAUAAAAAUAUCAACCCACAAAACUCACAGUAGUAACAAAUCAAAUCAAGGUGCAACCAAUUUAUUAGUUAAAAUGAGUUACAUUAAUAAAAAAUUAAGAAAAUACAAUUAAAAAAUUUAUAGAAAAAGGAUUUAAAUGUAAUAUUAAAUUAAAACUUUAAUAUAAAAAAAACACAAAAGUGC
rnacentral:rRNA from 1 species